rnacentral:rRNA from 1 species
UUGGUAAGGUAACGGCUUACCAAGGCGACGAUCAGUAGCCGACCUGAGAGGGUGAUCGGCCACAUUGGAACUGAGACACGGUCCAAACUCCUACGGGAGGCAGCAGUGGGGAAUAUUGCACAAUGGGCGAAAGCCUGAUGCAGCAACGCCGCGUGAGUGAUGAAGGCCUUCGGGUCGUAAAACUCUGUCCUCAAGGAAGAUAAUGACGGUACUUGAGGAGGAAGCCCCGGCUAACUACGUGCCAGCAGCCGCGGUAAUACGUAGGGGGCUAGCGUUAUCCGGAUUUACUGGGCGUAAAGGGUGCGUAGGCGGUCUUUCAAGUCAGGAGUGAAAGGCUACGGCUCAACCGUAGUAAGCUCUUGAAACUGGGAGACUUGAGUGCAGGAGAGGAGAGUGGAAUUCCUAGUGUAGCGGUGAAAUGCGUAGAUAUUAGGAGGAACACCAGUUGCGAAGGCGGCUCUCUGGACUGUAACUGACGCUGAGGCACGAAAGCGUGGGGAGCAAACAGGAUUAGAUACCCUGGUAGUCCACGCUGUAAACGAUGAGUAC